AGUGGAUGGGGAGCAACCUAUGUUGUGCGUGUGUAAAGGUAGUGCCAAGAAAAGCGAUGAUCAUGUUGAAAAUCAAUUCCCGGUACCCGAAACCGACACAGGUGGGCAAGUAGAGAAUACUAAGGGGCGCGAGGUAACUCUCUCCAAGGAACUCGGCAAAAUGACCCCGUAACUUAGGGAGAAGGGGUGCCACCGAGAGGUGGUCGCAGUGAAGAGGCCCAGGCGACUGUUUAGCAAAAACAUAGGUCUCUGCAAACUCGAAAGAGGAGGUAUAGGGGCUGACGCCUGCCCAGUGCCGGAAGGUUAAAUAAGUUGGUCAGUUUUAGGAUGAAGCUAGCGACUGAAGCCCCGGUGAACGGCGGCCGUAACUAUAACGGUCCUAAGGUAGCGAAAUUCCUUGUCGGGUAAGUUCCGACCCGCACGAAAGGCGUAACGAUCUGGGCGCUGUCUCGGAGAGAGGCUCGGCGAAAUAGGAUUGUCUGUGAAGAUACGGACUACCUGCAUUUGGACAGAAAGACCCUAUGAAGCUUUACUAUAGCUUGGAAUUGUGUUCGGGCUUCCUGUGCGCAGGAUAGGUGGGAGGCGUAGAAGGUAUUCUUGUGGGGAUACUGGAGCCAACGGUGAGAUACCACUCUCAGGAGGCUAGAAUUCUAACUUAAUUAAGGACAGUUUCAGGUGGGUAGUUUACUGGGGCGGUCGCCUCCAAAAAGGUAACGGAGGCGUACAAAGGUUCCCUCAGACUGGUUGGAAAUCAGUCGAAGAGUGCAAAGGCAGAAGGGAGCUUGACUGCGAGAAGUACAGUUCGAGCAGGGUGGAAACACGGUCUUAGUGAUCCGACGGUGCUGUGUGGAAGGGCCGUCGCUCAACGGAUAAAAGUUACUCUAGGAUAACAGGCUGAUCUCCCCCAAGAGUUCACAUCGACGGGGAGGUUUGGCACCUCGAUGUCGGCUCAUCGCAACCUGGGGCGGAAGUACGUCCCAAGGGUUGGGCUGUUCGCCCAUUAAAGCGGUACGUGAGCUGGGUUCAGAACGUCGUGAGACAGUUCGGUCCAUAUCCGAUGUAGGCGUGAGAAUAUUGAGAGGAGCCUUCCUUAGUACGAGAGGACCGGGAAGGACGCACCGCUGGUGUACCUGUUAUGAUGCCAAUUGUAAACGCAGGGUAGCCAAGUGCGGAGAGGAUAACCGCUGAAAGCAUCUAAGUGGGAAGCCCACCUCAAGAUGAGUAUUCUGGUGUAAGGUCACGGGAAGACGUCCCGUAAAUAGGCACGAGGUGGAAGUGCAGAGAUGUAUGAAGCCGAAGUGUACUAAUAGACCGUCGGCUUGACC
rnacentral:rRNA from 1 species